AUGCAUUAUACUGUGUUUCUCUUCAUGUCUCAUUCACAAAGCACCUUGAAAUGCCAGAAUCAUCAAAAUCUCAAAAAAAAAAAAAAAAAAAAAAAAAAAAAUUUAAAGAAACUGACAAGAACCAGAAUAAAAUCUGAAUGGAAGAAAUAUCUUUUGUCUUUUGCUUCUUGGGAGAGCGUCAGAACCACAGGGAGAGUUCUGGAAGGAAGAACAUAAAAUGCAGAGCCAACAUGAUAAAAAUCAAUCCUAUGAAAGGGAGAUGAUCCUCUUAAGAUUUUAUCUAAUAAUACGAUGACCAACUCCUCUACACCAUAUCCCACCAACCCUCAGUAAAUAUUUAAAGGUAUAUCUUCUAUGAAAGCAUUUUAUUCUACUAUGUCUACUCAGAAAACUGACUGAUUAAAUGUGUACUUGUACCCAAACACCUUAAAUGAUCAUAAAGCAAAUCCUCUGUGUAUUAUUAUCCAGCAUCCCCGAGGCAAGAAGAAUGACUAUUCAUUACUCAUACUAUAUAUUGAAAAACGGGUUGCCACAUUAAGAAAGGGCUUUUUUUUUUUUUUUUUUUUUUUUUUCAGCAAGAGUUUUCAAGACAAAUUAUGAAAGAUUUCAUUUCUGCUGCUUUUCAUCAAUAACAUCAAAUACAUUUUUAUUUGUAAUGAUUUCUGAAAGUAAGACCUAGAUUUAGACCAAAAAAGGAAAAAAAAAAAAAAAAAGGCUGUUACAAAACAAAAAUGCAAUCCCUCUCCCUCCCCCAAAAAGCUCUAAGGAAUGUAAAUUUCAGACUAAGGACAUGAAGCUUAAUGAGGAACUCUAGAGACACACUGCUUUUUAAAAGCUACCCUGGGGAAAACAUGACAGAGUACUGAAGAGGGACCAAUUGCUGUGUAUAGGAAGCAGGCAAAUAUCUAAGCUUCCUCUUUUCUUCUUGAUAAAGCUCAAGCAUUCCUGUAUUAACAACCAAGCAAAAAUAUCCAGUCUUUUCUGCUUAAUCCUGACCUCAUUAGUGUCCUGUUGAUUGUUUAAGAGAAGACUCUCUUUCAUUGUAAAUUCUCUUUCAAACAGUGCUCCCCCCUCCCCAACUUCUCCCCACAGGCCUUUAAUUGUGCAGACUACAGACAUUUGACAAGUAUGACAACUACUUUGAAUUAAUGCUGUAAGAUUAUUUAUGUGCUGCCUUAAUUUUAAAGAGCAAACCUGAUUAAAACCAAACCCGUGAGUUCAAGGAUUCUGUAAAAGAGCUGCAGAAUCAGCAGCACAUGAUGGGCAUUUCCAGCAAAAGACCAUUUUACUAAGACGUUUCAAAGAAAAAUGGCAAUAAAUCAUUGCCUGUAUCAAUUACA
rnacentral:lncRNA from 1 species